AAGGCAGGAGGCCUGAAAGGGAAGGAAGACUCAAGGAUCGAGGGGUCGGGAGCGCCAGGAGGCGAAGACCACAGGAUAACGUCAGGAGAUAUUUGCAAGGAAGGGACCUCAACAGGGAACGUUGACAGCAAACAGGGAAUGUAAAGCCCGCUACGGGUUGAAGGUCAAGAAAAAAGGCGACGGUUUACACUGUCGCCUUUUUUCUUUGCUUGCUU
rnacentral:sRNA from 1 species